rnacentral:rRNA from 1 species
UUUAUGGAGAGUUUGAUCCUGGCUCAGGAUGAACGCUGGCGGCGUGCCUAAUACAUGCAAGUCGAGCGAACGGACGAGAAGCUUGCUUCUCUGAUGUUAGCGGCGGACGGGUGAGUAACACGUGGAUAACCUACCUAUAAGACUGGGAUAACUUCGGGAAACCGGAGCUAAUACCGGAUAAUAUUUUGAACCGCAUGGUUCAAAAGUGAAAGACGGUCUUGCUGUCACUUAUAGAUGGAUCCGCGCUGCAUUAGCUAGUUGGUAAGGUAACGGCUUACCAAGGCAACGAUGCAUAGCCGACCUGAGAGGGUGAUCGGCCACACUGGAACUGAGACACGGUCCAGACUCCUACGGGAGGCAGCAGUAGGGAAUCUUCCGCAAUGGGCGAAAGCCUGACGGAGCAACGCCGCGUGAGUGAUGAAGGUCUUCGGAUCGUAAAACUCUGUUAUUAGGGAAGAACAUAUGUGUAAGUAACUGUGCACAUCUUGACGGUACCUAAUCAGAAAGCCACGGCUAACUACGUGCCAGCAGCCGCGGUAAUACGUAGGUGGCAAGCGUUAUCCGGAAUUAUUGGGCGUAAAGCGCGCGUAGGCGGUUUUUUAAGUCUGAUGUGAAAGCCCACGGCUCAACCGUGGAGGGUCAUUGGAAACUGGAAAACUUGAGUGCAGAAGAGGAAAGUGGAAUUCCAUGUGUAGCGGUGAAAUGCGCAGAGAUAUGGAGGAACACCAGUGGCGAAGGCGACUUUCUGGUCUGUAACUGACGCUGAUGUGCGAAAGCGUGGGGAUCAAACAGGAUUAGAUACCCUGGUAGUCCACGCCGUAAACGAUGAGUGCUAAGUGUUAGGGGGUUUCCGCCCCUUAGUGCUGCAGCUAACGCAUUAAGCACUCCGCCUGGGGAGUACGACCGCAAGGUUGAAACUCAAAGGAAUUGACGGGGACCCGCACAAGCGGUGGAGCAUGUGGUUUAAUUCGAAGCAACGCGAAGAACCUUACCAAAUCUUGACAUCCUUUGACAACUCUAGAGAUAGAGCCUUCCCCUUCGGGGGACAAAGUGACAGGUGGUGCAUGGUUGUCGUCAGCUCGUGUCGUGAGAUGUUGGGUUAAGUCCCGCAACGAGCGCAACCCUUAAGCUUAGUUGCCAUCAUUAAGUUGGGCACUCUAAGUUGACUGCCGGUGACAAACCGGAGGAAGGUGGGGAUGACGUCAAAUCAUCAUGCCCCUUAUGAUUUGGGCUACACACGUGCUACAAUGGACAAUACAAAGGGCAGCGAAACCGCGAGGUCAAGCAAAUCCCAUAAAGUUGUUCUCAGUUCGGAUUGUAGUCUGCAACUCGACUACAUGAAGCUGGAAUCGCUAGUAAUCGUAGAUCAGCAUGCUACGGUGAAUACGUUCCCGGGUCUUGUACACACCGCCCGUCACACCACG